rnacentral:rRNA from 1 species
GUGGAUUAGAUACCCUGGUAGUCCACGCCGUAAACGAUGAUCACUCGUUGUUGGCGAUACACCGUCAGCGACUGAGCGAAAGCAAUAAGUGAUCCACCUGGGGAGUACGGUCGCAAGACUGAAACUCAAAGGAAUUGACGGGGGCCCGCACAAGCGGAGGAACAUGUGGUUUAAUUCGAUGAUACGCGAGGAACCUUACCUGGGCUUGAAAGGGGAACGACCUCCCGGGAAACCGGGAUUCUCUUCGGAGCGUUCUCCUAGGUGCUGCACGGCCGUCGACAACU